rnacentral:rRNA from 1 species
GUGAGGAAUUUUCCGCAAUGGGCGAAAUCCUGACGGAGCAAUGCCGCGUGAAGGAUGAAGGCCUAUGGGUUGUAAACUUCUUUUCUCAGAAAAGAAUUAUGACGGUAUCUGAGGAAUAAGCAUCGGCUAACUCUGUGCCAGCAGCCGCGGUAAGACAGAGGAUGCAAGCGUUAUCCGGAAUGAUUGGGCGUAAAGCGUCUGUAGGUUGUUUAAAAAGUAUUCUGUCAAAGAUUAGGGCUUAACCCUAGAUAGGCAGAAUAAACUUUUAAGCUAGAGUUUGGUAGAGGCAGAGGGAAUUCCCGGUGGAGCGGUGAAAUGCGUAGAUAUCGGGAGGAACACCAAAGGCGAAGGCACUCUGCUGGGCCAAUACUAACACUGAGAGACGAAAGCGAGGGGAGCAAAUGGGAUUAGAUACCCCUGUAGUCC